rnacentral:lncRNA from 1 species
AUCGAUACAGUGGCAAUUUUUUCCAAGUAUUCACUUCCUUCUCACUUUUACCAGGUAACAGCUGUAUUACCUGUAUUCAUACCGGUUAUCACAUUGUUCACUUGCUGAAACAGUAAGUAGGUGAGAGAAUUCUUUCUGGGUUGGAAUGUUCAACACUUCCUUGGAGCAUCACCUGGAUCAACAGGAGGAGACAAACUGCUAUGAUCUCAUGUUGGGCUCUUCAGACUCCCACUUUGUGACUCUUGACCUGCCUUAGUGAAGGAAGAAUCCUUCCACAGAGUGAGACAGUCCUUGUUUAUGCCUCAUUUAUUCUCAAAGGAUCUGAGAUUGGAUAAUACAUCCUAGGUCACUUGACCUAUGGAAGGAAACUGUGCCCAGGAAAUCUCUCCAGUUCUUGACCCUCCUCUUGGACAAAUUUUAAAUUCUGGUAUUAAACGUCACCAAUGUGGAAGAAGAGGUAAUUAUAUUGCAAAAUGUUUUGGAUAUGUAUAAGAAAAUGGAGAAUCUAGUAAGUAAAAACUCUCUAAG